rnacentral:lncRNA from 10 species
AGACGGCCUCCUCUCAGACCAGCAUCCUCUAGAAGAUUGGAGUCAUGGGCACUGGCAUCUUUCCGCUUCAACUUCAGGAAAUCAUUUUUCAGAUGCUACCUGGGGACUCCUGCAGCUGCUGUGCAUUUUCUUGGAAUCUCUCAUGGAACCAUGCAUGAUGACUGUUUCUACAUCUCUGCAUGGGAAGGAACUCAGGGAUAGAGGGCACCCCGUUCCAUCCCCAUCCCAGCCCCUAGUGCAGGGGAAGAGAGCCGUGGAUGUUAACUAUUCACCUUCAGAUGCCCUUUCAUGGGGUAGGAACUGGGAAGGGCAGAGGUAGUAACAUCUGAACAAAGCUGGGUGAAUUCCCACGGAAGACGGAGCAUCGAGUCGUCAAUGCCUUUUGGUAAACAAGUCGCAGCUCUUCCGUCUUGGCUCAUCCUCAUGGGCACAUCCCAGUGGUGUUCCCUGCCCACCUCUGCACCCACAUUUUAAGUGCCUGGAAUGUGUGAGACGGAUCCUGCCCUUUCCUUCACCAAGCCACCUAGCAGAACCCAUGCCAUCCAGGGCAUCUGCGAGAGAAACACCUCUCCCAGCCUCCCCUGAGCAGCCCACUAGCGCUGUGGAUUCCAGAUCCUGAAACUGCAUCUUGCACUCGGUGUCCUGAGCCCAGCUGAAGUGGCAGGAGCACCACUGACUCCAGAACAGACUUGUAAAGAAAGAAGGUAUCUCCCAAGUCAGCCACAGAGGCUCAUGGUUUCCUGCUCCAUCUAGUCCUGGGUGUUUGCUUAAAUGGGCACUGGCUGACAUGACUGAAACCUCAUGCAUCCAUCACACAUUCACCCUCAACAAAGACACAGCCCCUCCUUUAAGGCCUGUGCUCCCUGUACAUACACAGUGCCCUGCAGCACAGAGAAACCACAUGAAUGGCCUUCUUGGCUCAAGGAGUCAGGGAGUAGGGGCCUGCUGAGCAUGACCAUGUCCAGAGAGUGGGGACCCCAAGAACUGUAACAGCCCAUUGGACAGAUGUGGGCAGGAAUGGGGACAAAAUCACCCACAGUCUCAGACCCCAAAUGAGGUGUGAAUAUGAAAUCCAUGAAAACCUCAUGUGGAGGCCAAAAGACUAACUAGAUUCCCAUCUCAUCUCUCCAGGCCAGAAGCCUAUUAUCCAAUCCUUCCUCUCAUUGCAAGCCCCAGAAGUAACAGCAAUUACAAAAUAAAGAAAAAUAAGAACUUGUCAGCUCCAAUUUUGGGGUUUGAAUGUGGUCUCUGGGGAAUGAUCAGACGGUGGAAGCAGCUGUGGGCAGGGACUCCUCAUGCAGCGAUGACUACUCACUAACCCAGGGCAUGCAUUCGAGGUAAACCCUGUGGGAUUCAGGGCUUGUCCUGCAUCUCACAGUUGAGCGGGCAAGAGCCACCUCUGCCCAAGUGAGGCUUUGUCCCGCACGUCAUCUGUAUGACCUUGCUCUAGGCUGCUCAGGGACGGUAAGAUUUUUGUUCUUGAGGACUGGAGCAGGUGAUGGCCCAAGUGCAAUGAGUUCUGUGGGCAUCAAUGCUCAAAAUAAACACUAAUGCACUACAGUCCCUCCCACUUGAGAGGCCCCUACCUGUCCCACAAUAUCUCAUCCACCUAGAAUUGAAUCCUGGGUCAGAUCCAUACUCAACCAACUCAUUUAAGUGCUACCAAGGGCUGACAGUGGUAAUAGGCUUUCCCUAUUACCUAUAAGGGGCAUAUGUUCCUUUUAUAGAUGCAGAAAUUAGAAGUCAGAUUGCUUAAGUGACUUG